rnacentral:misc_RNA from 1 species
GUUUCUUAGCCAGCCAUUCCUGUGCUCCCCAAUCCUCACCACCACUAGGGUUUUAGCGCCACCGUAGUCGGCUAGUCGCCAGAUCUUGCUAAUUACUUCUCAUGCAUUUCCGCCCCUAGCAUAUCACAAAAUGGGCGGCGCCACCAGGUUCCUCCUGCUUCUCACCAGCACCCCUCCGUCCCCGCUGCUCCACCGCCGAUGCCCAGCUUUCCUCAGCUUCUCCCGCCAUCGUCACUUAUUCCCGUCAUCUUCCUCCUACCUUCCUCACCACCACUACCGUAACCUCCCUUCUUCUCUCUCUCACUCUCUUGGUCGCCCCUUAAAAAUCGAAGCCUCCCACCAACUACACACCCAAACCGCCUCCGCCAAUUUCACUGAACCUUCCUCCUCCUUACCUCGGACCCCCCACCCGUGGCCUGAGUAUUACAAUUUAAUCCAUAAUCUCUCUUCUGCUGGGUAUUUUAAUAGGCAUAAAUUUGGUAUCCAAAUUGAUUUAGAGUUUGUGGCAGGCUUUAAUUUGCCAGAGGAUUUUGCAGAUGCUGCCACUGCUUGCUUGGCAUUCGCGCGCGAAAGGCCUGAUCUUUUAGGGAUGCUGUCGAGGAAAGAUAUUGAGGUGGUUGUUGAGCAAGGGAUGCCCUUUUUAUUUAAAAAUGGCGAUGGCUCACGAAGGAGGAUGAGGUCAUUUUUGGGCAGUGGCGAUAGUAAUGUGCAGAAUACAGAUAGAGCGCACACUAUUGACUUGAUGAGGUUUUUAUUAAGUUAUGCAAGCAGUCUUGUUUCUUUUGAGAAGAACAAUAUACCCAAUAGAGAACUUGUGGAAUCAUCUGUUAGGAAUCUCUUGAGUGAAUUGGCCCAGCUGAGCUAUGCUCCAGCCUCAAACCCAUCUGUGUCAGUGCAAAAUCAGUUCCCAGAUAGAUAUGGACAAGCACCAAGUCCUCCUGGGCAAAACAUUGAAAUGAAAAGAGGCGACUGGAUUUGCCCAAGGUAGAGUCCUUAUUUGUCUUGUUUCAAUGUCAUAUUUUCUCAACUUCUUUGCUUAACAUAAUGUCAGUGUUCUGUACGGGAUAACAUUUCUAUGUUUGUUUGUUUUAUGUGCAGGUGUAGUUUCAUGAAUUUUGCAAGAAAUGUGAAAUGCCUUGAAUGUGAAGAAGCACGCCCAAAGAGGCAGCUUACUGGUGGGGAGUGGGAGUGUCCUGAGUGAGCAUUGUUUCUUACUUAUCUUCUGUAAGCUUGUUAGUUGACCUGUCUUCAUUUCAAUUAUGACUCGAGAAAUUCUCUUUUGCAGAUGUGAUUUCUUUAAUUAUGCAAGGAACAUGGUAUGCUUAAGGUGUGAUUGCAAGCGGCCUGGAGAGGUCUUGUUUGGUACUACCAAUUCUGGAUCAGCUCUGGGAUAUGGCAAUGGGAGCAACACAAAUAAGGCUGAUGUGGAUAGCAGGCUAGCUGCCAAUGAAGAGAAGGCACAACGGUGGUUUAGCAAACUUUCUCAGCUGGAUAGUUCUUCAGACAUGAGCAGUGCCAUAGCUGAUGAAGAUUUCCCUGAAAUCAUUCCAUUGAGGAAAGGAGUCAAUAGAUUUGUUGUGAGCACAAGGAAAACUCCACUUGAAAGGAGGCUGGCCAAUGCCCAGUAUAGAAGAAACCUGGGUAAUGAUGGCAUUUUUGAGGUUGGUAGUCUUCAAAGCACGCAAUCAAUCAAUCAAGGUUUAGAUGAGAUUCUUGGUCCUAAGACAGCUGCUUCAGAAUCAGAUAACAGGACUCUCAGUACUGGACAAAUUGCAGGAACAAAUACUCCCUCUUCUGCUUCUAAUUCAACUUCACCACACUAUGGUGCCCCCAGAGGAAGUAAUUAUGUUCCAUUUGUGCCACUGCCUGCAGAUAUGUUUGCCGAGAAACCUGAUGAAUUGAAGAUGGAUAAGAGUGAUAAGUUGGAGAUGGAUGAUAAAUCCCUAUCUUCAAGCACUAGUGAGCAAACAGGAGCAGUUUCUGGAAGAAAAGAAUAUGGUAAAUCAUCAGACAGUCGGCAGCCCUCUGAGAAGCCUGCGGGCGAGACCCUGAACAAUGAAAAAGAGAAAGAACAAGCUGAAAAAUCUGAGAGAUGGUUUAAGAGAGUUGCAGAGCUGCAUAAUGUUACAGAUCUGGCUAGUGCAAUUUCAGAUGAGGACUUCUUUGAGAUCAUGCCAAAACGCAAAGGAGAGAAUCAAUUUGUAGUCAGUAAAAGGAAAGAUCGAUCUUUGACUUCUCCAAUGUACAAGAGACGUAUGGCCAUGGAACAAGCUAAUGAUUCCAUCUUUGUCCCCUUCCCACCAAACUACUUUGCUAAAAAGGAUAACCAGCAGCCAGGUGUGGCUGAUUCAACUAAUAAUGCUACAAGUGGAACUGCAAAUUCUGCAACACUAGCGAAGCUCCCUGAGAAGUUGGAUGACAGUAAACCCGUGGUGGCUGGUGCUUCACAUGUUCAAGGGAUGGAAAACCAACAAUACAGCACAGAUUCAAGAACUUGGGAAAAUUCAAAUGAAAUGAAAGCAGGUGUAAAUUCAACUCAAACUGUUGUUGAUCCUCAGUCUAGUAGCAGGGAUGGUUGGAGCAGUGGAUAUCCUAGAAAUGAAACUAUUAGUGAGACACCAAAUCUGGUUGGUAGUAUGCCACAGAAUUUUCCUACUUCCCCAAUAAAUGGCAAGGACAGUGGGAGCAAUCGAUUCCCCAGUAAAGAGGACGUCAAUGAGGCAGCAAGUUUGACAAAGACUACAUCUCAUCCAUCUGAGAAUCAGAAAAUUAGGGAUAGCUGGACUGGGAAAAGCUUGGAAGGGUCAGCAGUGAAGGAGCCAGAUCCUUUGGACAUGUCAGAAGAGGCCAAGGCAGAGAGGUGGUUCCGACGCGUUGCUCAGAUCAAGGACAUAUCUGAGCUGAGCCAGAUCCCAGAUGAAGAUUUCCCCUCAAUAAUGCCAAUGCGGAAAGGUGUCAAUAGAUUUGUUGUGAGCAAAAGGAAAACCCCUUUGGAGAGGAGGUUGACAUCUACUCAGUAUAGAAGAAAUCUUCCGAUUGUGAACUCUGAUCCAGUGAAGGAGCGUGACAGUAGCUGAUGCAUUAUAGAAGAUUUUACUGAGUUAUUUGAAUCUAAAAUAUGCAUUAUGGAAGAUUAUACCGAGUUAUUUGAAUCUGACAUGGACAUUUAUCUUUUGCAAAUUUUGCUGCUUAUAGUCAAGAAAAGAAACCUCUCCAGAGCCCUCCGUUAAGUGGUGUGGUGUGCAUUUGCGCAAGAGCAUCUGGAUUGGACGAUAGAGGACUUACAGAAAUGGUAUUUAAUAUGCUUGUGUUUUAUGUUCUAAGUUGUUCACACCUGUAAGCUGGAUAAUUUGUUUGUACAAAUAUUAGUCUGCUUAGCUUCAUGAGAGGUUUACAAAUUUCAUUCUCUCCGACUCCCCCACCUCAGCAGAAUUCUUUUUCACUGAAUAAAAGGAUAGAAAUGAUGAGGUUUCGGUAUUUAUUGGUUGCUUUAGGGGUAAAAAGAAUAUAUUUG